UGAGCUUAAAGUGAAUUUGAUUUUUCUAAGAAAAGUUAGAAGUUUUCCUAAAGACGAGAAGACCCCAAAAUCUUUAUUUUAAUUUAUAGGAUUUAAUUUUUAUUUGGGGGAAAGAUUGAUUUUUAUUUAUUGUUUUAUUAUUGCGAACUUUUUUAGGGUGUAUGGAUAGAUACUUUGGGGGUAACAGGAUUAUUUUCUUUUGAAGUUCUUAUUUUAGGGGAAGUUUAUUACCUCGAUGUUGGCUUUUGAUUUUAGUUGGGGGUAGCUUUUCAAACUAAUAGUCUGUUCGACUAUUAAAA
rnacentral:rRNA from 1 species